rnacentral:lncRNA from 1 species
AAGACAGAUCAUAAGUAUAAAAUAAAAGAAUUCAUAUAGAUUAACAUGGACUGGGAUAGUUGACCAGGGGAUUAAAUGGGUGGGAGUGUUAUAAGCAAAACAGUCAAAGGGACUGUAAAAUAGUAACUUUUAUUUCUUUAAAAAUACAUUAAAAUUUUUAUUACUACCUGUCAUGCUCAGAUACAUAUCAUAGGAUAAAAUUUCCCUAAAAUAUAAAAUGGAAUGUUAUGUCUUUAAAAGAUGGUGAUGGCUAAAGACAUCUGCUUCUGUGGCCCACUCCAGGUCAUCUGCAGGAUCUACAGGCCUUCAGGAAGGGUAGAAAGGGUUUGCAGCAACAUGGCCAGUGAGCCACAGCCUCAUGGUGACCAGAGAGCUCGCCUCCCAGCACUGUUCUCAAUGGCUUCUUCCAAAAGACUGUCAGAUGCAACAAAAACAGCACAGUGAAAAGGGAGAAGGGAGUCGGAAAGAGACAGGUUCUUGGCAUCUGCUCACAAUCCAGCCUGUAUUUCUGCCCACAGUGACUGGCCAGAGGAGCAGUGUCCAGCGAGGGGCAAGGAACCUGUGUACUCGGCACUCCACUGACCAGCGGGGGAUCUUUAAUACUCCCUCACAUUGUGUACUUUUGAUCACUUGAUGGGAGCACUUGAUGGAAGCACUCGUUGGGAGGAUGUUAAGGAUUAGAGAACAGUUCUCAGACUGAAUUGUUUUUUCAGGAAAAAAAAAGUAACAUUUACAUCGUCCUCUGGGAAACCAUGCUCCUUCCGUCUUGAAGUUUGGGAGAAACCAUGCCUGAGAGCAUGGUUGAGUAUGCAUGGUCGAGGCUUGGACAAUGAAACUGGUGACCCACCCUACACCUACUGUUAUCUCCGGGAUCAACAUACAAAAGUUGUUCUGAUCAAAAACUUUCCCCCAAUCCAAAGCAGCUACAAAUGAAAGCAGCUGUCCACAGAGGAGGAAGUUCAAAGACAAGUGGGGAGAGAGAAAGGAGGUAGGGGUCACAUGAGGAGAACAAACAAGGACAAGAAGAAGCUUGGCAGCUCUCCUUUGCACAGAAGUCUAAAGCAGAAAACAUAUUUGGGGACAGAUGGACUGACAGCAGCUAUGGACAGAGUGAUGCCUGGAGAGACUUCCAAGUAGCCCAACAACUGACUGUUAGAUUUUGACAAAGACUUAAAAGUGGACAACACUCCCAGAGCAAGAAAGACUUCUAAAUAUUUUCUUCUGAAUUUGUAAUGGUCAUUUUCUUUUGGCUCCUAGCAGUUAAUCUCUCAUGUUUCUGAAUGAAGCUUGAGAGGAAAAUUCUACUGAAAUUUGUGAAUGAAUUUCCUUUGCUUUCAUUACCUAGUGGUUAUCAAGAAAAUGCAGGCAGGGCUUUUUUGAGAUUUGACUUCAAUAACAACUAGGGGUAACUAGCAUCUAUCUUUUAACUACAAGGCUGUUUUAUUGUAUAUCUAGGGCACCUAAAAGUUAUUAUAAAAGUAUUGUAGUUAAAACUGCAACUACUAAAGUAAACUAUUAAAGAUAACUCAUUGGACACUUCAGAAUACAUUUUAAAAAUAGAACCAAAGACAAAUAAUGCUGUCUGGAACUUUUACAACUAUUUUAUACAAAUGAAUUUAAUAU